rnacentral:siRNA from 1 species
AGUAGAUUGCCCCUUUGCUAGG